rnacentral:lncRNA from 10 species
GGCAGACUUUAAAAACCAGUGGAGAGGGUGAGACAGGAAAUGAAGAGCAACACAUUUCUCAUUUAAAAUUUUGUGGAGAGGGGAAACAAAUGGAGACUGGAUUAUCAACUGGGAAUUUGGCCUGGAACCGCGGAGUCAGGAAUGCUGAAGGGAUGGGGUCCAACCUGACUGCAGAAGGCCAGGGAGGCCUUCUGUGGUCAGGGGGAGUCGGUCGGGCGCAGAGGCCUGGCUGAUGGGCUGGAUGGGACCCUGCCUUGCUAGUGAGGCCCCCACUGAAAAGUCUCUUGCUCAUCCUGAGCUCAGAGAAAGGAAGGCACCAUGCAAACGUGGAGCUGUUUUCACGUCUCUAACACGUCCCAGAUUUGUGCUGCUGAGAGUCCGGUCCAAUCCUGUGAAAUUCCUGCUGUUUUUCUGUUUCUAACAAAACCACAGGGUGAGAUGUCAAGACUGCUGCUUCCCUGAUCAAGAUAACAGAAUGGGCCACAGUGAAGGCUCUAGAGGAACAGGAAUAUGGAUAAACCCCAGCUCUGGAAAAAAUCCCAAAUCGUGAAGAAUUCGAUUUGGAAUUGUGUUCCUUUAGGAAUUUCUGGAGAGGUAACCUGGGGUCUCCCCAAGCUUCCUGCAGCCCAACCAACCAACCCACCAACCUGGCUGAUGCAUAUGUGGAAUAUCGGCUUCCUGUUCUCUGAAGGGCAAAAAGGACACUGAAGUAUAGCCUACAGGCUCUGCGGCCCAAAGCUCAUUAAGAAGAUAAUAGAUUUAGGCCAGCCGCAGUGGCUCACGCCUGUAAUCCUAGCAUUUUAGGAGGCCUAGGUGGGUGGAUUGCCUGAGCUCAGGAGUUCGAGAUCAGCCUGGGCAACAUGGUGAAACCUCGUCUCUACUGAAAUACAAAAAAUUAGCCAGGCCUGAUGGUGUACGCCUGUAGUUCUAGCUACUCGGGGGGCUGAGGCAGGAGAAUUGCUUGAACUGGGGAGACGGAGGUUUCAGUGAGCUGAGACUGCAUCACUGCACUCCAGCCUGGGUGACAGAGCAAGACUCUGUCUCAAAAAAAAAAAAAAAAAAAAGAAGAAGAAGAUAAUAGAUUUAGAAGACACACAAAUAAUUGUUUAAAAGAAUGGCCCUAAUGUGCUGCAGUCUGAGGUGGAAGGUUAGUAAGGUCUGGACUUCCUCGGAAUAUGACUGAGUUUUCAGAUCACGUGAGACGUCUUCAUGGAAGACAUUGAGGUAGUUACCACAUCUUCUGGAUGUCCCACAGCCAACAGCAUAUCAAUUUGGGUGAGUUUUAAAGAUUUGGCCCUGAUAAUGGCACCCUGACUUGAAGUCCCUGAGAACCCAGGGAUAUUUAGGAAGGUCAUAUGACUUCCAAAGGGUCCCUGAUUGAAUGCUUUCUCUCCUAAUCAUGGGGAAGAGGGUGGCACAGCAUGGGGCUAAAUCCUCACUCCAUCCUUACUCAUGUUCAAACAAUCCCAGACUUACUGAUCCAUGAAAUGUGUCUCAGGUGUGUCUGUGGUUUCUGGGUUAGGAAGUAAAUGGACUUUUGCAAUUCUUUCUUAUAUAAAUAGGAAAACUGAGAUUUAGAAAAGUUGUGACAUGCCCAAGAUUGUGACAAAGCCAAAUAAGAACUUGGUUCUCUGAACUUUCAGGCUCCUUCAGACAUUAAAAGCAGGAAUUGGAUUAGUGUAGCUGCCGGAGGUUUCCCACUGUCUCCACUCCCAGUUUCCACGUGCAUUUCCUCUGGUGCUCAUCAAGUGUACAGUGCUGCUGUGGUGAGAAUUUGUCAAAUGAGUCUCCAGUCUCAGAAGGUCUAUGUAAAUGGGGUUUCAAGUCAUCACAGGGACUGAAUUUAGUCUCAAGUACCAUAAAGAAAAUACUUUUAAAGCUCUUCUAAAAAUAAAGCUCCUCUGAAGAGAUGUUUGGCCUGUGGCUAAUGUGUUUGGAAACAUGUUUUCUGUAAAACUCAACCUUAUUCAUCUACUUGCAAAUCCAGAAAGACAACUUUCACUACACACAUCAGGGCUUGUCCCAAAUUUUCCCUACUCACAGUGGAAGAUGCCGGGGUGUGAACCAUUGGCUUAAGGUGCCUCUGCCUCCCUUUCCCCAAAACAGUUUAGGAAGGGAGGGUUUGGGUCUAGUGUCCAGCCUGGGCUCAGCUUUGGAUGCUGGCAACCUGGACCUAGGCACACCAGGGAGGCUGCUUUCUUUGCCCUUGUCUUGCCACUUCCCAUCUCCCAUGUCAUAGGAGGAGCUUGGAAGGAGCUGAAGGCCGUCACCUUCCUACAAAGCAGAGAGAUCCUCUCUCCAAGAACGGCUUUUGCUGCCCUCUGGGUCCUGCUAUUUCCAUGGCUCCUGAAGAAUCAGCCUCUGAUAUUUCAAUUGCCCCUUCAUCAGAACUGUCAAACCUGGUGAAUCUCUUCUCUUUUUCUCUGGCUCACUCUCUCUAAAACACGCAUCUUAAACAAGUUUUAAAAUCCCUGAAGAAUGGCAGAAAUACAAAGAACUCAAUUCCAAAUAAUAUUGUCAUGUUCUGCUGCAUAGUUGAGGUAAUCACCGUUAAGUAAGUGCAGGUAUGGGUGACUCUCUAAGACAAGGAUGAAAGUACAGUGGACAGGUGAGCCCAUGGCCCAGGACUCAGGCACUCACAGCCUCCCACGUUUCUUCUCUAUUUCACAAUUGCUGAUCCAAGGCGGGAGGGGUGCCAUUCAUGUGUGGCAUUCACAUGAGAGAGGUGGGCAUUGUGGGUCCUCAGUGCAGGGCCUGUUGUGUCCUCAAUGAACCCAGGAUUGAGUCCCACAGUGGACAGACUUUGCCAACUUUUAUAAAUCUCUCUCAAGACACUCUCCUCCAAUAUUGCACCUUGAACUGAUGUAAUUUCUUGUAGCGAAAAAAUUAAAAUCUAUCCUUUUUGACCUUCAUAUGCAACAUGCAUAUCAAGAGAGUUGUCUUAGCAGCAGCAAUUUUAUAUUGGGAGAUUUGAGCAUGGACUGGCUGUUGGGAGAGCUUUAUGAGGCAUUCCAUGAUGUCUUGGCUUUAAUUUUGCUUUUAUUUUGAUGUGACAAGAUGUGUUGGACUGAGAUGCCUUUGGGCUCUAGCCCUGGAAUUUACAAAAAGAGAAUACUGCAGGGUUAUGGUGGGGGUGAGGCUGGAAGAUGUUACCCACUCACAAAGCUUCAGCACAGCAACAUAUGUUAGAAGAAUAAACUAACAUUGGAACAGUAAAUACACACAUACACACACACACACACACACAUACACACACACACACACAGAGUGGGAGAGAGUGAGAGAGAGUGCAAAGCCAGUGUUAAAUCCUGGACAUCCCUGCAGGGUCCUCAUGCCUGCCUUUUUCUCUUAGUCUUGUGGGGGUGGGGAAACUCUUUGGUAUUCUCCUUUCUCACUUGUAGGAAUAUAAGGAGGAAAGGAACCAGAAGUAAAGUGUCUGGGCCUCUCUCAGCCAUGCUUUUCAUUUCCACUUAUUAUCUAAAGUAAUUCAUUACUACUUCUGUGCUCUCUUUUCAUCUUUUCCUUGAGCCUCCCCUGAGCUCCCUUGAAGGUGGCAGGUGACAGGCUGGCUUGACCAGAACAAAGACAGUUAUCCCUGGCUGCCGCCUGUUUCCCAAUGGGUGCCUGCCCUGUCUUGUUACACUUCCUCUGUGUGUCUAAUUUACACUGCAAGCCCUCUGGGCAGUGGCUUUUUUUUUCUUUUUUAAAAAAUUAUCUGCUCUUCUCUGCUUACGACUGAAGUUUAACUUCUGCACCCCAACUCCUCCUCAUUCUUAAGAAAAUGCCAACAGAAAAAUAUUAAAAUGAUUGCUGCUGUAUGUAAAGACAGAAGGGUAAAACCGAGGCACUGGAGGCUUUGGGUGGGUAUUGAUGGAGGUCUGGGAGCAGCUGGUGAUUGACAGGGAGAAGAGCUGAAUUAGUUAAGGAAGGGUCUCCUGGGUUUUGCUGGGAGUGGUGGCCAGACACAGACAAGGACAAGGAAGAAGGCCAGGACCUCUGAUUGCUUUUCUCAGAACAGAAAAGAUAUUAUUAUUUGAACCUAGAGGCUGGGCAGUUUCCUGUCAUAGAAAAACUGACUGGCCUCAUGGCCAGAGAAAGGUACCAACUACUUUCUUUGGUAUUUAUGGUUCUCGUAUCCAACGUAGGAAGUUAGGGCUAGACAACAUCUGGAAGUAUCUGGUAGAAGUAUCUAUUUAUUUAAAUCAUCCAUCCAUUCAUCUAUCCAUCCAUUCAUCCACUGAUCCAUCCAUCCACAAUGAUUAACUGCAGUGAAAGAGAAGACAUUUUUAGAAGAUAAAUGUGGUCAAAUGUCCUAAAGUUUUAUUCGCUUGCAUGCAAGUAACCGUGAUGUGUCUGGAGGACUGGAGGGCUGGAAAUGAAAGGAGAAAAGCAAUUAUCUGGGCCCAUGGAUUUGGGAAGCAGAUAUGGGGAUCCUCUCACUGCUGACAGAGCCCCAGUAAAGCAUCUGGAAGGGUUUUAAACAGAAUGAGGGUGUAACAAUGACAGACGUAUUCUUCCUCCUUCAAAAUCCACAACAAAAUAAACAACCACCACCA